rnacentral:ncRNA from 1 species
CCGGUUCCGGUUCACGACUUCGAAAUCCUUCGAGGCCGACCCGGCGACC